CCUACGGGUGGCAGCAGUAGGGAAUAUUGCUCAAUGGGGGAAACCCUGAAGCAGCAACGCCGCGUGGAGGAUGAAGGUCUUCGGAUUGUAAACUCCUUUUGUUAGAGAAGAUAAUGACGGUAUCUAACGAAUAAGCACCGGCUAACUCCGUGCCAGCAGCCGCGGUAAUACGGAGGGUGCAAGCGUUACUCGGAAUCACUGGGCGUAAAGAGCGCGUAGGCGGGUUAGCAAGUCAGAUGUGAAAUCCUAUGGCUUAACCAUAGAACUGCAUUUGAAACUGUUAUUCUAGAGUAUGGGAGAGGUAGGUGGAAUUCUAGGUGUAGGGGUAAAAUGCGUAGAGAUCAAGAAGAAUACUCAUUGCGAAGGCGACCUGCUAGAACAUAACUGACGCUGAUGCGCGAAAGCGUGGGGAGCAAACAGGAUUAGAUACCCCUGUAGUC
rnacentral:rRNA from 1 species